CCUUAAUGCAUCCCUGGAUCAUAGCAGACUCUGCCUAUAGAGGCCUGGGGUCCCUUUGGCAGCACUUUUCUCAAGAAAGUAGAGUCGUGGACAACCAACUGCACAGGUUGGGAGGAAAACUUACAGCCUCCAUCACUCUUCAGGAGAGUGGCAGUCAAGGAGUAAGACUCAAGGAAAGGCUUUGAAGAACAAGCUGCCAUGAAUCCUGCAGCUACAAGGAAAUGAACUCUAUUAACUUGAGUGAGCUUAAAACUAGAUCCUUCCCCAGUCAAGCCUCCAGGUGAGAAUUCAAUCCUGGCUGGCACCUGGAUUGCAGCUUACAGAAGACCCAGCUAAGGCCAUGUCUGGACUUUAAAUCCACAGGAACUGCAAGAUGGUAUCAGAAGUGGGACCUGCAGUGGGGCAUCUAGCAACCCCCAGGAGCAUUGAGUGACCAGGCUUGGGACCCACCGGGCGCAGGGUGUCCAUUGUUCUCUCGAAGCAACUGAGAAUUGUGGAUAUUCUUCAUUAUUCCAUCAUCAUCUCAAACCUCUUGGGUAUAGUGUUUGACUACUACUGUGACCAUAAAUUCCAAUAAAACCUAGGAAAAAUGAAACCACUACAUUAACUGAAAGGGAAGGAUUUGACAGCUUCUUUUGGGCAUAUCAGAAUCGCCAGCAUCACUACUCUUGCACUGUGCGGCCAUUAUUAAGUGAAAUAAGGAUUACUUGAACACAAGCACUGCAAUGCCGCUACAGUCAAUGUGAUAACCCAGCUGGUGACUAAGUGACCAAGGACGGGGAGUAUCUACAGCGGGGAGACUCUGGAAAAAGGGAGGAUUCACAUCCAGUGCCACUGGGGCAGGGCAGAAUGAGAGUUCAUCAUGCUACAAAGAAUGGCACAGAAUAUACGACUUGUGAGUGGAUUAUCUCUGGAAUUUUCUGUUGACUACAUUUGUACUACAGUUGUAUGUGGGUAACAAACUGUGGAAAGUGAAACUUCGGGUAAGGGGGAGGCUACCGUAGAUAGCCCAGUAUUUCUUAUUUUGUGGAUUUGUUUAUCUUUCUGCUCACAUCCUUUUCCUUCUGCAUUACCAUUUUAGUAAAAAUAGAUAGCAUCCAUUUGGUGUUUAGUAUGUUUUUGGCACAGUCGAACAUUUUACAAACAUUAUAUCAUUUAAUCUGCAUAAAACCUAUACAGUAGGUACAACUAUUAUCCAGUUUUUUAGACAAGGCAAACUGGAUCACAGGGAGUUCAAAACGCCUCUUCCCUUGGUCAAGUUGGGUCAUGUAAUUGUCAAAGUUAAAACAUGCCCCUUAGGAGAUGAUUUAAAAUUCCCUAAUUUUUUAGAAGAAUCUUCAGUUUUCCCAGGAUAGAACAUUUAUUGAUAUGGUAAAUAUGUGGAAAGA
rnacentral:lncRNA from 1 species